rnacentral:ncRNA from 1 species
GUGCUGGCUGAGAAGUCAAGAAGGUUAGCAUUCCCCCUAAGCAUGGAUGGAAAAGGUCCUGGUGACCUAUAUACCAGACAUAUGGUUAAGAAAUUGCCACCUACCUCAUGGCAUCUAUCUAUGACUUCUC